rnacentral:rRNA from 1 species
UUUUUAGUUUUUGUGGGCGUUUGGUGGAUGCCUUGGUGCCUAGAGCUGAUGAAGGACGUUGUGGCCUGCGAUAUUCCCUGGGGAGUUGGCGAGCGAGCGUUGAUCCGGGGGUUUCCGAAUGGGGUAACCUGACAGGUUUUGUGGCCUGUUACCACUGCUUGAAUGUAUAGGGUGGUGGGGGGAACGUGGGGAAGUGAAACAUCUUAGUACCUGCAGGAAGAGAUAUUCUGUGAGUAGUGGCGAGCGAAAGCGGAUGAUGGCUAAACUGUGUGCGUGUCAAGGCGGCAGCUGUUGCGCAUGUGGGGUUGUUGGGGCGUGUUUUUCCAUUCUCUGCCGGGGGUGGGGGUAGUUAUAAAUGGUUGUGUGGAGCUGAACAGUUUGGGAUGGCUGACCGUAGGGCGUGAUAGUCGUGUAGGUGGUUCAUGCAACUCUGCCUGAGUGUGUUCCCAAGUAGCAGCGGGCUCGUGGAAUCUGCUGUGAAUCUGCCCAGACCACUGGGUAAGCCUGAAUACUUCUAGGUGACCGAUAGUGUAGUAGUACCGUGAGGGAAUGGUGAAAAGUACCCCGGGAGGGGAGUGAAAUAGUGCCUGAAACCAAGCGCUUUUAAGCCGUCAGAGCCGGUCGGCCUCUUUUUUGGGGUUGUGGUGAUGGCGUGCCUAUUGAAAAAUGAGCCUGCGAGUUAGUGAUGCGUGGCGAGGUUAACCCUUUGUGGGGUAGUCGUAGCGAAAGCGAGUCUUAAUUGGGCGCCCAGUCGCGUGUUCUAGACCCGAAGCGGGGUGAUCUACCCAUGGCCAGGUUGAAGCGAUUGUAAAAGGUCGUGGAGGGCCGUACCCACCUAGGUUGAAAACUGGGGGGAUGAGUUGUGGGUAGGGGUGAAAGGCUAAUCAAACUCCGUGAUAGCUGGUUCUCCCCGAAAUGCAUUUAGGUGCAGCGUUCUGCGUGUGUUGUUGUGGUGGUAGAGCUACUGGUUGGUUGAUGGGCCGUUUUGGUUACUGACGUCAGCUAAACUCCGAAUGCCAUUGAUAAUUGCAGGGCAGUGAGACUGCGGGGGAUAAGCUUCGUAGUCGAGAGGGAAACAGCCCAGAUCAUCGGUUAAGGCCCCUAAGGGUGUGCUGAGUGGGAAAGGAUGUGGAGUUGCAUAGACAACCAGGAGGUUGGCUUUUUUGUUUUUUGGGUAGGGGAGCGUCCUGACUGGGGUGAAGCAGGCCUGUGAGGGUUUGUGGACUGGUUGGGAGUGAGAAUGCAGGCAUGAGUAGCGAGUGGUGGGUGAGAAUCCCACGCGCCGAUUGACUAAGGGUUCCAGGGCAAGGUUUAUCCGCCCUGGGUUAGUCGGGUCCUAAGGCGAGGCCGACAGGCGUAGUCGAUGGAUGACCAGUUGAUAUUCUGGUACCGGUUUUUUCUUGUCCAGUGCUGACAAAGUUGUGCUAACCAACGCCGUGAUGGUGGUGAUUCCUUCGGGUUUUAUCGCCUAGUGGUCUUGGGGUCCCUUCUUGGGUAGGCAAGCGUGUUAACAGGGGUGACGCAGUAGGGUAGCUGAUGCUGGCCGGUGGUUGUGCCAGUCUAAGGUUGUGGCCCGCAUGCUAGGUAAAUCCGGUGUGCUGUCUUUGAUGAUAAGGGUGAGGGCUGAUGGGACUGCCACUUAUAGUGGUGGUUAUUGGUGUGCCUGUGCUGUCUAGAAAAGCCUCGACGUUAGAGAAAUAACCGCCCGUACCCUAAACCGACUCAGGUAGUUAGGUAGAGUAUACUAAGGCGUGCGAGUGAAUCAUGGUUAAGGAACUCGGCAAAAUGCCCCCGUAACUUCGGGAUAAGGGGGACCAGGCCCGGACAAGUACUGUUUUUCUGGUUUUUGUUUGGGUGUGGUCGCAGUGAUUUGGAAGAAGCGACUGUUUACUAAAAACAUAGGUGUGUGCGAAGCUGUAAGGCGAUGUAUACGCACUGACGCCUGCCCGGUGCUGGAAGGUUAAGCGGAAGGCUCAACCCCCUUGUGGGGUGAAGGUUUGAAGUUAAGCCCCAGUAAACGGCGGUGGUAACUAUAACCAUCCUAAGGUAGCGAAAUUCCUUGUCGGGUAAGUUCCGACCUGCACGAAUGGCGUAACGACUUCUUCGCUGUCUCGACCAUGAACUCGGUGAAAUUGCAUUACGAGUAAAGAUGCUCGUUUCGCGCAGCAGGACGGAAAGACCCCGGGACCUUUACUAUAGCUUGGUAUUGGUAGCCGGUUGUGUUUGUGUAGGAUAGGUGGGAGACUGUGAAGCCGCUACGCUAGUGGUGGUGGAGUCGUUGUUGAAAUACCACUCUGAUAUAAACGGUUAUCUAACCUUGGUCCGUGAUCCGGAUUGGGGACAGUGCCUGGUGGGUAGUUUAACUGGGGCGGUUGCCUCCUAAAUGGUAACGGAGGCGCUCAAAGGUCUUCUCAGCCUGGUUGGUAAUCAGGUGUUGAGUGUAAGUGUAGAAGAAGGCUUGACUGUGACACUGACGGGUGGAGCAGGUGCGAAAGCAGGAACUAGUGAUCCGGCCGUGGUUCGUGGAAACGCGGUCGCUCAACGGAUAAAAGGUACCCCGGGGAUAACAGGCUGAUCUUGCCCAAGAGUCCAUAUCGACGGCAUGGUUUGGCACCUCGAUGUCGGCUCGUCGCAUCCUGGGGCUGGAGUCGGUCCCAAGGGUUGGGCUGUUCGCCCAUUAAAGCGGUACGCGAGCUGGGUUUAGAACGUCGUGAGACAGUUCGGUCCCUAUCCGCUGCGCGCGUAGGAAACUUGAGAAGGCCUGUCCCUAGUACGAGAGGACCGGGACGGACAAGCCUCUGGUGUGCCAGUUGUACCGCCAGGUGCAUGGCUGGUUAGCUACGCUUGGGAAGGAUAACCGCUGAAAGCAUCUAAGCGGGAAGCCUGCUUCAAGACAAGGUUUCCAUCCCCCUCUUGGGGGGAGAGACUCCCAAUAGAUGAUUGGGUUGAUAGGCCAGGCGUGUAAGCAUGGUAACGUGUUUAGCUUACUGGUACUAAUAGUCAACAACUA